rnacentral:pre_miRNA from 1 species
UCAACUAUUCGAUUUUGUCAUAUGCUGUUAAUUAGCGAUUGGUUUGAAAGAGUUUCUUUAACCAAUCAUAAUUCACAGCACUUGUUUAAUAUCGUGAGCCAUCA